rnacentral:misc_RNA from 1 species
AGUCGUAACAAGGUUUCCGUAGGUGAACCUGCGGAAGGAUCAUUAACGUGCAUCUAAUGCAAAACCAAAACCAAACCGACUUGUGAACCUUAAAAAACCCUUAUGUCUUCUUUUUUAGCCAUUGUCCUUCGGGACUUUGGUUAAAAAACCCACCACAUUCACCAAAACCAAUUAAUACACAAACCCAUUCCAACUGAUUGAAAAAUCGUAAAUAAAUCGACGACUUUCAACGGCGGAUCUCUAGGCUCGU